rnacentral:lncRNA from 1 species
GGCUCAUGAGACUGGGCUCUAAACUGCUCCAUUGUUUGGGAGAAGGACUGGUCUGGAGAGAGCGAGGGAAAAGGUGUUGCAAUAACAGCAAGAGACAAGAGGGGCUCAAACUAGCCCAGAGGAGUGGAAUGUGCAGAGUGGAGAUGUAAAAAGGAAUAGGCGUGAAGGACUUUGCCAAGGAGACAGCACCCUUGGCUUUGGUAGGAAAGUAAAACCAUCACAUGUCAUGGUUUCAUAUCUCCCCACCAUCCUCUUAACCCCUUCUUCCUUACUCACUGUGGGCUUACCUACUUUCCUCUAUUCUCCAGGUAAGGUCUCACCUGGGCAGAGUCACGAAAGGACUCUAUUUACUACACACUCGACAUUUGUGUUGAUGUAUCACUUUUCUAGAAGCCACAUCACUUUGGCAAAGCUUUUGAAUCUGUUCCCUAAGAUAACUGCUCCAUGCCUAUAGAGAUGCACUUGUCAAUUCUUUUAAUCCAAAGAAAAGAUCUUAUAUUUCUCCUGGACACUUAACAUUUUUACCAAAUAUCUAAAGACCGGGAUAGAAUGAAAAUGCCAUCUCAUUCAGUUUGGGAACUUUCCUCUCUCUACUUUAGACUUCUGAUUUGCCAUACGUGGUUUAUUGAUCACUCAGAACAACCCAGCUGGUCUUCUUGCCAUGUCCUGGUUUCACAAGAAAUCUUGGCUGGAGAAGUCCUCUCUCAAGCUACAACUUUUUAUGAGAGAGGUUCUUCAGAGCAUUGAAUUGUGAUGUUAGGGUGGUGUCUUAACUUAUUAAAUUUACCUUCAUAAGGGAAUCAAUAUCAUUAUAACAAUAUUGAGGAUGACACAUCUUGGAUUUAUAGAGAAACUUUCUACCAACUACCUGAUUGGGGACCAUCAGGGGAAGACAGGAAACCAAAAAAUAUAAAUAAUUUUGACAUCAGUAAUUUCUAUAUCUUUCUUGAGUUGGCCAUGUAAAAAAUAGAAAGUGCCAUGAUAUUAAUGUAGUUCUUGCACAAUGAGCUGAAAAAAGACUGUGGUUCAUUAAGCUUAUAGAAGCAAGGGUCUAAGAAGAACCCUUUAAAGGAUGUUUGGAUGGGCAUCCUGUCCUAGGAAGUUGAAAAGAAACCAGAGGAUGGGGGGUUGUGGCAUGUGGCACUAGGUAAGCCUCCAUGGGGCUGAUUCUAGCAGGAGGAAAAGUUGUAAUGAUUGAGUGUCUAUAGAUGGUUGUGCAUAUUCCAUAUUCCAAAGGUGCAAACCUAACCACACUCUAGGAGCUGGGUAUUUUUUGCUUCAGAGAGGGAGAUUUUCCAUGGUCCUACACAAGUUGUAAGUGAUGGGGUGAAGCUUACGGUCCAGGUCUGCCUGACUCUGUAUCCAAGGCUUUUGCCUCAGGUGACUGAAGGUGGCCACUGUAUUCUUAGUAGCACAAUAGGAUUUUUAGCUGUGGAAGAGACUCUGUCAAUCAUUUGAACAUCACUGCUCAUCCAUGAUACAGAAUCAAGCUCAGCAGUAAUCCAACUCAUUCCGAGUUAUCUCCCUGUUAGCUAUGAUGCCCAUUUUUCUUUCUCUCUUUAGGGAUAUUUAUGUAAAAACAUAGUAAUAAACAAAUAAUAAAACAUAAGUAAUAAAAAAAUCCUUUGUUUCUUAAAAUUGCAGGAAAGUCUGUGUUUGGCUUGAUUUUUCCCUGAAUCCUGAAAUGGUGCUGGUGGAAUCUAGAGAUACGUAGUAAUUAUGACCAGUGUUAGUUGUGAACAAUGUAGUAAUCAUGACAGCCAUGAACUGAUUUCUUCUUAGACUUCCCAUUUCCUUUCUAUCCAGCAAGUCAAAGGGAAGUUCACGUAACCCAUGAUUGACAGAAAUAUGAUGUCAAUAUGUUCAAUGCUUUUCUUGAAUUGGUAAUAUAAAAAUAACUGUACAGCAAAGUGUAUGUUAGAAAUUGAAGGAACAUUGUAAAUCAAGUAUACUUUAAUAAAAAAUUUAAAAAAUAACUCCAGAGGGGCAGGAAAAUUCAAAAUGUGACAUGAAAUCAUAGAUUUCAGAUCUUGCCAGCUACCAAUUAUCUAGAAUGGUGAUUAAGAUGUUACCCUAUGAUAUCCAACACCUUAUGGCAGCGUUUUCUCAUCUGGUCAGCUGAAAAAUUCAUUUGCUUCUCCUUAAAGAGGGAGAAGUUGGCCAGAGAGGAAAAACAUUCUUAUGAGCAAAAGGGAAGCAAUUUUCACCAUUUCGUAGUUUGUCUAUCUUUAAGGUGCCUUCUGUGUUCCAUACCUAAGGUUUCAUGUUACUUCAGGGAUAGGAUGAAGUUUAAGUUGAUAUUGAUAAUAUUUGUGGCUUUACUGAGGGAGAGAGACAGAAGUUGUUCAUCCAAGACCAUCACAUGGAACUAAUGUCUGGCCGAGAAAAGAAUGGUUAUAUCCAGCCACUUCUACCUUCCUGGUUGUCCUUACAUAACAUGCUAUUUUUUUUUUUCAUUUUUAAAAGUUUUAUUGAAGAACUAAAGUUUUAUUGUUUAGAUAAUUCCUGCUGUACAACAAAGUGAUUCAGUCACACAUAUACACAAUCCAUUCUUUUUCAAGUUCUUUUCCCACAUGGGUUAUCACCAAAUAUUGGGUAGAGUUCUCUGUGCAAUACAGCAGAUCCCUGCUGGCCAGUCAUUCCAUACACCUGAGUGUCCAUAUGCCAGUCCCAAACCCCAAGUCUGCACCAAUUACACAGAACAAAUUCAAUCCAUACCAUCUCUCUUUAGAGCUGAUGACCCCCCAUCAUUUUUCUUUCUCUCCUUAAGGAUGUACAUGAAAACAUAUUUGUUUCUUGAGUGUGUGUUUUUCCUUUUCUGUUGAGAGCUAUCCUCCUUCUGAAAAUAGUGAUUUAUCCCUCCAAGCCUAGAAGGAUACUGCUUUGCUUUUAAUGGCAUAGGUCAGUUGCUAAGGAAACCUGUAACUUUAACAUCAGUGGAAGGCUCUGAGUUAAAGUAGACAAAAUUUUAGUGUAAUUGGAAUCUACAAUAUACACGAACAGUAGCAUUUGAUGAUAAAUUCUGUAUUAAUGAAUUGGACUUAGCUUCUCCCCAAAAGGCCACUGUUAGCCUUCUCACACAGGCUGAUGUUCUUUUUUUUUUUUUAAUCUUAUAAAAUGACUUCUUGGGAGACUAGGCAAGAUGGUGGAAGAGUAGGGGGAUGCGCUCACCCUCUCCCACAAAAACAACAAAAAACCACACCUAUGUGUUAAAUGACUCACACAGAAGAGCAACUGAAUGCUGCAGAAGAACUUAAACCUCCAAAAAUGGCAAGAAUCUCGUGAUAUAGCUGGGUAAAACAAGAGAAGAGGAGAGUGAGAGAAGGGGAAUCAGGACCGGGUGGGCACUCCUGAAAGGGAACUGUGAAGGAGAAAGGGAACCCACACCCUGGAAAGUCACCUAAUUGAUGGAAAGAUCAACUGAGUCAGAGGGAUCUCCAGAUGCCAAGAAAAGCGCAGCAGUAGGUCUGAGAUCUGAAACGCAGAGUGAGAGCCGAACAGAUCAUCUGAAUUACUGCCGCAUUCACCCAAAACCGAGAUGCUCGGGUAGGGGCCAGGCACCAAGACCUAGGCUCUGGAGGUUAGUCCCUGGGAACGGGCUUGGGUUGGUGGUUUGGAGACAGCCUGAGGGAUUAGGAAGUGGAGCUUCGUGGGUGGAGGGAGCAAUACGCUAAGGGCUGGGGAGUGGAAAGCCACAACAGAAGGAACCUGGGAGAAGGUCUGGAUCCUCAGGAGAGACGAGGCACCAGUGUUGGUGAGGGGAGAAGAAGAGGGGUGGGCCGCCGUAGAAUACUCUUUGUGCCCCAGUGAGCACACUUGUCUGCCAGCUAGCAGAGAGCAGUGCUUCCCAGUGCAUCCCCCCCCAACCCCACACGCACCUGACCUGAGUCCACCUGCCAUCCCAGAGGACUGGCCUCACUGCUCGUGGGAAGCCAACCACCUCCAGGGCUUUCCCUGGCCUGGCCUGUCCACCCUCUGGAGGUGCUGCACUCCUGCGGAGCAGCUGCCCAGCACUGCCCACCCCCUGGAACAGCUCCAUGGCCCAGAAGCACCAGGGCAAGCCCUGCCUGGCCAGGGGAAGUCUGCCUCCACCACAGUGUGGUCCUGCCAGUCCUGCCUGCCCUGGGGAAGUGCUCCUUUGCCUCUAAGCGACCCAGUUAGCCUUUCCCACCCUCGGGAGGUGCUUCACUCCUGCAGAGGCAGCCACCCAACACUGCCCACCCCUGCAAAGAGCUCUGCAGCCCAGGAGCAUGAGGGCAAACCCUGCCUGGCCACAGGAAGUGCACCACCAACAUGGUGAGGUCCUGCCAGUCCCACCAGCCCUUGAGAAGUCUUCCUUUGUUUCAGAGUGACCCUGAUAGCCCUUCCCACCCUCAGGAAAUGCCCCACUGCCUCAAAGAAGGCCGGCCAACACUGUCAGUCCUCGGAAAACACUACACAGCAGUGCCAUGGGUGUGCACCUCCAUCUUGAAAAAGAAAAUAACAAGCAAGAUGAAGAAGCUGAGAAACCACCCCCAGUUAAACCAACAGGAGAACUCACUUAAAGCAGUCAACACUGAAACAGACCUCUGUAGUCUGACAGAUGGGGAGUUCAAAAGGGAGAUAUGAAAAUACUGAAGGAAUUAAGAGAAGAUAUGAACAGUAAUGCAGAAACCCUCAGAAAGGAACUAGAAAAUAUAAGGAGGAGCCAAGAAAAACUAGAAAAUUCAUUUGCAGAGAUACACACUGAGCUAGGGCAGUAAAAACCAGAAUGAAUAAUUCAGAAGAAUGAAUCAGUGAUGUGGAAGAUAGAAUAAUGGAAAUCACCCCAACAGGACAGCUGACAGAAACCAAAUGAAAGAACAUGAAAGUGAUAUAAGAGACCUAUGGGAUAAUAUAAAGUGGGCCAAUCUAUACAUAAUAGGAAUUCCAGAAGGAGAAUAAAAAGAUAAGGGGAUGGAAAAUAUAUUUGAAGAAAUUAUUGCUGGAAACUUCCCAAAUACUGAUUUCAAGAUACAGGAAGCACAGAGGGCCCCAAACAA